rnacentral:lncRNA from 1 species
AAUGAGAGAAUCUCAACUCGAGCUCAAAUAAGGAUGAAAAUUAAUGAUGGGGGAGAGGGUUCCAGAAAAAACACACUCUGAGAUUUCCCUUCUCCUCUAUUUACCACCAAAUUUGCAUCUCCUCGGACCUGUGGCUGCUAUAAUCCGCCAAGUUCUAGGUUUGGGUGAGAUCUUGGGCUCUGCUGAAUGUCCCUCAGUAAUUAAUCCUACAGUGACAGGCUAGGCAGUCAACUAGCCUGCAGCUUAGUGAUGGAAACUGGAGGGCAGAAGAUGCUGGGAAGAUCUCGGAGUUGAGGGAUUUGUGGACACAAGGGGAAGAUUGACAUCAGUCCAGUGUGAUAGAUCCAGACUGGUGGAUGCCCACACAAAGAAUGCAGAGAAACCAAACACCAAGAAGCUUGGGCCCUGGGAGUAUCAGGAGGGUAAUGACAGUUUGCUCCAUAUCCUAAGUCCAUGGCAAGAAAAGAAGGGCAGACAGAAGAUUAAGACUUAUUAAUCUCUUGUUCUCUUAACAACCGGUUCAUGGAGAAGUCUGUAACAGGCAUUCCAGGAAAACCAUCAUUGCUCCUAAGGGAGUGUCAUAGAAGAAAUGGACUAUCUUCAUCCUGUGAAUGACAUCAGGCCUAGAACUGUUGAGAAUGAAGAUGAUACUUAGGAGAGAAAGCAGAGAGAUGGGAGGAAGCUGGCUUCUGGUUGAACUAACUGAGCGUGGUGCCAUGACUCCAUAAGAUUGGAUCUCGCCUUGGAAUCGUGGUUUACUCCACCCCAUGACAAGGCCUUCAAAGGGCUCUGAUCCUGACUGGCCAUCUGGGGACCCAACAGCUGACCUACUUCCGGUCCUGUGCUCUGACUCUUGUCAGAACCCUUCACUGGUAGCAUUGUAAGGAUUUGCUUUUGAUUCCUUUUGUGUACUUGAUGAUUUCUGGUGCUGGCUUCUUUUGGUUUUAAGGUCUACCCAUUUGGUGAUCUCUCUAAGUGAAUUCACAGUUUAUAGAGAUCUUAUGUCUGUUGGGUGAAAAACAAUGAAGAAUCUGAUUUAUUAGUCUGUUCUGUUUGUCUGUUUAAUCUAUUUUGAGCUCAGAUCUAUUAAGGAUUCAUGCCCUUUUUGGAGCCAGUGAAUUUGUAAUUCUAUGUUUACCCGUGGCCCAUGACUGAAAGUUUGAAUUGAAGCUAAGCUUUGUCUCUCUGUGUCGUAUGUUUAUAUGGCUAUUACUUGGAAAGAUCUUUCUCUCUCACUGUGUGAGUGUGUAGUAUUUUUCUACCUCCAGAUGGUAUUAAUAAAUUGGAUUAUAAAAUCUCUUAAAUUAAAGGAACUAUACUCUGAUUGGCUUAGAGAUAAAUAGGCACAUAUAUAAAUUGAGUAUUUCUAAAAUUCCUGGAAAUUUAACUUCCAGUCUUUUCAAUGUUCUCAAAAAAUUGUAUUCGUAUAGAAAGCAACUCAAAUAAACAUUCUCCCUGUUGAAACAGGCUGAAUAAGAUCAUAUCUUUAAUUGUCUAGUGCAUUUUAUCCUUGACAUCACUGAUCUAUGUUCUGGCAUGAUAGGAAGACUAGCUUUUAUUUUCUAGAAUUUUCUAUAAGUGGAAUCAUACAGAACGUACUCUUUCUUCUUUGGUUCGGCUUCCUUCACUCACCAAAAUGUUGUUGUGUGUAUCAGCAGUUCACCACCUUUUAUCACCGAGGAGUAUUCUAUUGCAUGAAUGUACCACAGUUUGUUUUUCCACUCUGCUUGCUGGUGGACAUUUGGGUUGUUUUCAGUUUGUGAUGAUUACAAAUAAAAGUAUUAUGAACAUUUGUGUACAAAUAUUAUAAAAAUAUGCUUUCAUUUCUUUUGGGUCAAUACCUAGGAGUGAGAGGCUGGCACGAAGCACACGUAAAUCUUUAGCUCUGUACUAAUUCUCCCUUGCUAGAAUUUCUUGAAACUGACCCUUCACUGUAUGACCAAAGCAAUGAUUUUAGGUAGGAACUUUCUAUAGCGAUUUUCCUAGGUUAACAGGAUGACCUUAACAAUACUUUCAGAAAGAAUAAUGAAUUUAAAAAAUGUAUUUGGCUUUUAAAGUUAUGGAUUUUAUAAAAAAAAGAGGGAGAAUUAAUGUUGCCUGUAACAUCUAUAAGUUUCAAAUAAUAUUUUUCAAUAGCAUGAAAUUAUCAU